rnacentral:ribozyme from 1 species
AAGGAACAGAAAGAGAGGGGGAGACAUAGGAAGGAAAGAUACGCCGCACUGACAUUGACUUUUUUUGUUUUUUUGAGGAUUUUUUAAAAAUAUUUUGUUCAUUUUUUUUUUU